GCGUUGUCCGGAGUUACUGGGCGUAAAGCGCACGCAGGCGGUCGUGUCAGUUUGGGGUUACAGCUCCCGGCUCAACCGGGAGAGCGCCUCGAAGACGGCAGGACUUGAGGGCCAGAGAGGGACACAGAAUUCCGGGUGGAGUGGUGAAAUGCGUAGAUAUCCGGAGGAAUACCAAAGGCGAAGGCAGUGUCCUGGCUGGUACCUGACGCUCAGGUGCGAAAGCUAG
rnacentral:rRNA from 1 species